rnacentral:lncRNA from 1 species
UUUUUUUUUCUUUUUUCUUUUUUUUUUUUCCGCCCAGAAUGAAGAUAUCAUCAAAGUCAUGAACUAUAUUUGUUCUUUCCACAAAGGAGAAUUUUAAAACUCUGCCUAGGUCUCUAAGAAAGAACACUAUAAAAGGUUGGUCUCAUGAGGAAAAAGCCACUAACUUAUAGGUUAACCAGAGGCCACUAGAAGCCCCAUUAAUGUAAUUCCUUGGCUGGCCUACAAAUACUUGGAAAUGGAUAAAAGCCAGCUUUCAAUAGGAACUGAACACAAGGAUUUAGCAGCUGAUGUUGCUCAAGGUCAACCCCUCUGUAGUCAAAGCAUGAGGUUUUUUUUGCCUUAAAUGCCUGCAACUUCCAGUUUUAAAUUGGUGAAGUUCGAUACCACCAUGAAACCCAAAUCAGGGACCGCUAGAAGCAGCUUAAAUAAAAAUUUCUACCUUUCUGCUACUUGACUCAAAACAUCAGAGAAAUUAACCAAGAGAUGGCUUUUCCAGUCUGUUCAUUUCUGCUCUCACCCAAAACAUGUUAAUACUCCACACGCAGAGGUAUCUUGGUAAUACAUAUUCCAAGUAUAGUUUUCUUGAGAAAUAAUAACCAGCUUUACAGGAAAACGGUUUGGGCUGACUUUGCUCAUUGAUGUCUAACCACUUAUAUCUUCAAUGGAAGAAAGCAUGACAGCUUGCUUUCUUCUUACCCUAGCAGGAGUAGGAGUCAGAAGACUUGAAAACAUUUAAAUUAGUUUGACCGAGGAAGUCUUUUUUAUAAAAGUAUAAAAAAAAUUUCAUAGCAGAUUUUUAAAAUCGGUAGUGUUCUCUCCUCAUAGGAAAUGAUGUAAUUCAGCAAGUUCCUUGAAAACAAUGGAUUCUUAUGACUACAGACCUAUUCAUCUUAGAAAUUGAUGAGCAUGCAAAUGAUUAGAAUCUGCAACAAUGAACAUCGUACAACAAUCUGUGAGGUACAUGCCAUCCGGUUGAAUUAACAGUAACACAGGCCUCAGCAGCGUGAGGGGUUCCAUUUAGCUCCACUCCCUUUUGAGUAGAGUAGGGGUCCCCCCGAUUGGUUGAAUGAGGGGCAGCAGCCUCUGCAAUGGCCCCCGACCCUGGCCCCUUCCUUGUUGCCCCUCCCCAACCCAGGGAGCUCAACCUAUCAGAGAAAUGAAAUGUUGUUCCUCUCAACAGUGGGGGUGGAAAUUUCUGAUAGAGAGUUUACACGGACUCUGAGGGAGCCUGACCUUGGCAUUAAUUCACUUAACCUUUAGGAAGUUUCCUGGCAAAAAAAGAUUUAAAAACACUGUAGGCAGUAUCUUUUAAGUGUGUCCACUGCCUUUUCUUUUUCACAAGGAAAAACUGCAAGAUGUGUGUACUUUCCAAACAAGAGGAGGAUUAACAUCUUCACUGCUGGCUAGAUGUUUCCAUAGCCGGUCAUUAUGUUUUGACAUGCUCUCUGUACACUGGGUUUUAUUAACUAAUCACUAAGAGGCCAGCACCGACCAGGGCAAAUGGGACCAACUACAUUCAGUCAAAUAUUGUAACACGGGAUGUUCUCAGAAAAUAAGAGAUAAGGGUCUUGCGGAAAGUGACAUGUAGCCCUGGUCAUGAUAAAAACCAUUCUUCUGGAAUUUUAACUUCUGCUUGGAAAUUAGAGACAAGUACUCACUUGCCUUACCACCUUUCUCGAAACAAUGCCAGAAAUAAAUAAAAUAUCCUAAUGUGUGCACGGAAAAAAACUGGUAGCCAUGGAGCAGGAAGCUUACAAAAGUGGGGGGAGGGGGAGAAGAAAAGAUCAACAGUCUCUAGUUUAUUAUGAAUAGAAAGAAAUUUCCAGAAUUUACAAACACCCACAUUGUUCAUUCCAAAGAGAGCUUUUGAUUUAAAGGGAUCACCCAAGUCUCCUCCUCUUUACAGUAUAUACAAUGGAAGACUUUGAUUUCAUUUGCCUGUAAUUUUGCUUCCAUUCAAUUGCCAAUUUUAAGCUGACACUUGAAAAUACCCAGUAGAAUAUAUCUUUCUUCAGUUUAAUUAACGUGGCCUAUUGCCUUACAGGAAAAAUACAAAAUUAAGAUCAAUUCUUGUAAGGAUCUCAGCUCAACAUCAGGGCUAUAUUACAAGAGAUAGUAUCCGCAAAUAUAACUAUACAAUUGAGAACCAUCUAAUGGCACUAUGAUUCUUAUUAUAUUAUUUUUCUGAAUUACAACCUUAAAACAAGGAUCGUACCCUAUUCUACUCUUGUUAGCCUUGUUUUAAGUAUUUGCUCCACUCUUUACAACAGAACAUUGUAUACCUCAGUUCC